UGUCUGUUUGCUCAUCAGUGGUCACAGAAACAUCAUUAAAGACAGAAUUUACUCUAACAUGUCCAAACUCAUUGAUUUCCACCAUCAAGUGGUUGAAAUCACAGAAUGAGCGGGCUAUGUACAGUUACAGUUAUUUUGGUCUUGAAGAAGAGGAAGUUCGUCUAUUGAUGUUCCUGAAAACUCUGACUGGUUUGAAAAAAGUCUGUCUGCAGCUUUCAAACCUGACUAACAAAUUGGCCAAAAACAUCCUGUAUCUCAUUCAGGACUGUCCCAGUCUGAUUGAACUCAGUUUAAAUAUCAGAAAAAGCAUCCUGGUGCAAAUCCAGUCCCUGAUGGAAAAAUUAAAGCACAUAGGUUGGACUCUGAC